CGGGACGGGUGAGUAACGCGUGGGUAACCUGCCUCAUACAGGGGGAUAACAGUCAGAAAUGACUGCUAAUACCGCAUAAGACCACAGUACUGCAUGGUACAGUGGUAAAAACUCCGGUGGUAUGAGAUGGACCCGCGUCUGAUUAGGUAGUUGGUGAGGUAACGGCCCACCAAGCCGACGAUCAGUAGCCGACCUGAGAGGGUGACCGGCCACAUUGGGACUGAGACACGGCCCAG
rnacentral:rRNA from 1 species